ACCAUUAGGUUGUCCUGCUGCUCUAAAUUGGCAUUGCUGCAGGAUAUUUGACAUCAAUGGAAGUACUUGGUCUCACUUGUGGUUAUCCCACGGAGAUGGAACUGGGCUUGCACAUGCUGGAACCAUGGUUCUGGAUCGUACUGCCAGAACUCUGGAAGCUUGACAAGGACAGCAAAAACAGUUUGGAGUAACGGCCGCCUGGCAAGAAACUGGGUCCGAAACCACAGCUGGUGGAGAAGCAGCGGCAGCCUCUGGAGAGAAUGAGGGGCCCCUAGAUGCCUGUCAGUGUGGUCCCUGGGAGGAGCUGGCUACAGGGUGCCUAGCUGGAGGCUUGGGCAGAGCUUGUUCAAAGUUCCAGGCCAAGUCCACAGUUUCGGAAAAGUUACAUACUGCAGCUUUAAGUUCACACUUAAACCAACUUCAUAGUUAAUGCCAGCAUCAACUGAUUCUAUGAUAUUACUGACUAUUUUUUCUACUUCUAACAUAAACAGGCAAUUAAGUCACUCAGAAAUGUUUUUUCACUCCGGUCCCAAUCAUCAUCAGUUCUGAUGAUGUCACAUACAUAGCGAGUCCACAACAUCCUGAAAUUGUUUCUGUAAAGUGCAGUGAAUGGGAAUGUUCUGUUGUUGAUCCUCACUGUUCAUAGGAAGGAGAAAUGUCAGUUUGUCUGCAGUAACACUGGAAUACUGUGACGUUGUAUUAAAACAAUAUUCUGUCCUUGGUGAAACAUUUUUCACAUUUCCUCUAAAAUGUGUCUAUUGUACUAAUUUUCAUAAGCAUUUUGUCUGUAAACUUUGAGUAUAUUUGUCAGUUUGUA